GAUGAACGCUGGCGGCGUGCCUAAUACAUGCAAGUCGAGCGAACGGACGAGAAGCUUGCUUCUCUGAUGUUAGCGGCGGACGGGUGAGUAACACGUGGAUAACCUACCUAUAAGACUGGGAUAACUUCGGGAAACCGGAGCUAAUACCGGAUAAUAUUUUGAACCGCAUGGUUCAAAAGUGAAAGACGGUCUUGCUGUCACUUAUAGAUGGAUCCGCGCUGCAUUAGCUAGUUGGUAAGGUAACGGCUUACCAAGGCAACGAUGCAUAGCCGACCUGAGAGGGUGAUCGGCCACACUGGAACUGAGACACGGUCCAGACUCCUACGGGAGGCAGCAGUCGGGAAUCUUACGCAAUGGACGAAAGCCUGACGGAGCAACGCCGCGUGAGUGAUGAAGGUCUUCGGAUCGUAAAACUCUGUUAUUAGGGAAGAACAUAUGUGUAAGUAACUGUGCACAUCUUGACGGUACCUAAUCAGAAAGCCACGGCUAACUACGUG
rnacentral:rRNA from 1 species